rnacentral:rRNA from 1 species
CAGCAGCCGCGGUAAAACGUAGGGUGCAAGCGUUAUCCGGAAUUAUUGGGCGUAAAGAGCUCGUAGGCGGUUUGUCGCGUCUGCUGUGAAAACUGGAGGCUCAACCUCCAGCCUGCAGUGGGUACGGGCAGACUAGAGUGCGGUAGGGGAGAUUGGAAUUCCUGGUGUAGCGGUGGAAUGCGCAGAUAUCAGGAGGAACACCGAUGGCGAAGGCAGAUCUCUGGGCCGUAACUGACGCUGAGGAGCGAAAGCAUGGGGAGCGAACAGGAUUAGAUACCCGGGUAGUCCCUGUCUCUUAUAC